UACGUAGGGUGCAAGCGUUAAUCGGAAUUACUGGGCGUAAAGCGUGCGCAGGCGGUUUUGUAAGUCUGAUGUGAAAUCCCCGGGCUCAACCUGGGAAUUGCAUUGGAGACUGCAAGGCUAGAAUCUGGCAGAGGGGGGUAGAAUUCCACGUGUAGCAGUGAAAUGCGUAGAGAUGUGGAGGAACACCGAUGGCGAAGGCAGCCCCCUGGGUCAACAUUGACGCUCAUGCACGAAAGCGUGGGGAGCAAACACG
rnacentral:rRNA from 1 species